ACUUAAAUAGCUUACGUCUAAGAGCAUAGUAUUGAAGAUACUAAGGAAAUGUUGAUAUUUUUAAGUA
rnacentral:tRNA from 1 species